rnacentral:rRNA from 1 species
CACAAGCAGCGGAGCGUGUGGUUUAAUCGAUGCUACACGAAGACCUUACCUGGAUUUGACAUGCACGUAGUAGUGAACCGAAAGGGGAACGAGCCUUCGGGCAGCGUGCACAGGUGCUGCAUGGCUGUCGUCAGCUCGUGCCGUGAGGUGUUGGGUUAAGUCCCGCAACGAGCGCAACCCUCGUCGCUAGUUACAUGUGUCUAGCGAGACUGCCAGGUUAACCCUGGAGGAAGGUGGGGAUGACGUCAAGUCAGCAUGGCCUUUAUGUCCAGGGCUACACACACGCUACAAUGGUCGGUACAAUGGGAUGCCAAGCCGCGAGGUGGCGCCAAUCCAUAAAGUUGGUCUCAGUUCAGAUUGUAGGCUGCAACCCGCCUGCAUGAAGAUGGAGUUGCUAGUAACCGCAGGUCAGCUAUACUGCGGUGAAUACGUUCCCGGGGCUU